UUUCUAGUGUCAUAUGUCCUGGUGUCAUUUUCUAGUUUCAUAUGUCCUGGUGUCAUUUUCUAGUGUCAUAUAUCCUGGUGUCAUAUUCUAGUGUCAUAUGUUCUGGUGACAGUUUCUAGUGUCAUAUGUCCUGGUGUCCUUUUCUAGUGUCAUAUGUCCUGGUAUCAUUUUCUAGU